GGGGCAAUCCAUGCAGUCGCACGGCAGCGGGUCCUUCGGGAUGCCGGCGAGUGGCGAACGGGUGAGUAAUGCAUCGGAACGUACCCAGUCGUGGGGGAUAACUACUCGAAAGAGUAGCUAAUACCGCAUACGACCUGAGGGUGAAAGCGGGGGACCGCAAGGCCUCGCGCGAUUGGAGCGGCCGAUGUCGGAUUAGCUAGUUGGUGGGGUAAAGGCUUACCAAGGCGACGAUCCGUAACUGGUCUGAGAGGACGGCCAGCCACACUGGGACUGAGACACGGCCCAGACUCCUACGGGAGGCAGCAGUGGGGAAUUUUGGACAAUGGGCGCAAGCCUGAUCCAGCCAUGCCGCGUGCGGGAAGAAGGCCUUCGGGUUGUAAACUACUUUUGUCAGGGAAGAAAAGCUCUGGGCUAAUACCUCGGAGUGAUGACGGUACCUGAAGAAUAAGCACCGGCUAACUACGUGCCAGCAGCCGCGGUAAUACGUAGGGUGCGAGCGUUAAUCGGAAUUACUGGGCGUAAAGCGUGCGCAGGCGGUUGUGCAAGACAGAUGUGAAAUCCCCGGGCUUAACCUGGGAACUGCAUUUGUGACUGCACGGCUAGAGUGCGGCAGAGGGGGAUGGAAUUCCGCGUGUAGCAGUGAAAUGCGUAGAUAUGCGGAGGAACACCGAUGGCGAAGGCAGUCCCCUGGGCCUGCACUGACGCUCAUGCACGAAAGCGUGGGGAGCAAACAGGAUUAGAUACCCUGGUAGUCCACGCCCUAAACGAUGUCAACUGGUUGUUGGGGGAUUCAUUUUCCUCAGUAACGAAGCUAACGCGUGAAAUUGACCGCCCUGGGGAGUACGGCCCCCAAGGUUGAAAACUCAAAGGAAAUUGACGGGGGACCCGCCACAAGCCGGGGGAUGAAGGUGGUUUAAAUUCCGAUGCCAACGCCGAAAAAACCUUUACCUAACCCUUGAACAUGCCCAGGGAACCCCUGCCAGAAGAUGUUGGGGGGUGCUUCGAAAAGAAAAGCCUGGGACACAGGGUGCUGCCAUGGGCCCGUCCGUCCAGCCUCCGUGUCGUGAGAAUGUUUGGGGUUAAAGUUCCCCGCCAACGGAGCGCAAUCCCCUUUGCCCAUUAAGUUUGCUUACGGAAAGGGGCCACCUCUU
rnacentral:rRNA from 1 species